rnacentral:rRNA from 1 species
UCCGAAGGGGGCUAUCGUUGUUCGGAUUUACUGGGCGUAAAGCGCGUGUAGGCGGGCCACUAAGUUGAGGGUGAAAUCCCGGAGCUCAACUCCGGAACUGCCUCCAAAACUGGUGGCCUGGAGCAGAUGAGAGGCGAGUGGAAUUCCGAGUGUAGAGGUGAAAUUCGUAGAUAUUCGGAGGAACACCAGUGGCGAAGGCGACUCGCUGGCAUCUUGCUGACGCUGAGACGCGAAAGCGUGGGGAGCAAACAGG